GGGGUGCUCGAGUGGCGAACGGGUGAGUAACACGUGAGUAACCUGCCCUUGACUUUGGGAUAACUUCAGGAAACUGGGGCUAAUACCGGAUAGGAGCUCCUGCUGCAUGGUGGGGGUUGGAAAGUUUCGGCGGUUGGGGAUGGACUCGCGGCUUAUCAGCUUGUUGGUGGGGUAGUGGCUUACCAAGGCUUUGACGGGUAGCCGGCUUGAGAGGGUGACCGGCCACAUUGGGACUGAGAUACGGCCCAG
rnacentral:rRNA from 1 species